rnacentral:tRNA from 1 species
GGCGGGGUAGCCAAGUGGUAAGGCAGGGGACUGCAAAUCCCUUAUACGUGGGUUCGAUUCCCACCCCCGCCU